rnacentral:rRNA from 1 species
AUUGAACGCUGGCGGCAGGCCUAACACAUGCAAGUCGAGCGGCAGCGGGAAAGUAGCUUGCCACUUUUGCCGGCGAGCGGCGGACGGGUGAGUAAUGCCUGGGAAAUUGCCCAGUCGAGGGGGAUAACAGUUGGAAACGACUGCUAAUACCGCAUACGCCCUACGGGGGAAAGCAGGGGACCUUCGGGCCUUGCGCGAUUGGAUAUGCCCAGGUAGGAUUAGCUAGUUGGUGAGGUAAUGGCUCACCAAGGCGACGAUCCCUAGCUGGUCUGAGAGGAUGAUCAGCCACACUGGAACUGAGACACGGUCCAGACUCCUACGGGAGGCAGCAGUGGGGAAUAUUGCACAAUGGGGGAAACCCUGAUGCAGCCAUGCCGCGUGUGUGAAGAAGGCCUUCGGGUUGUAAAGCACUUUCAGCGAGGAGGAAAGGUUGAUGCCUAAUACGUAUCAACUGUGACGUUACUCGCAGAAGAAGCACCGGCUAACUCCGUGCCAGCCGCCGCGGUAAAAC